rnacentral:piRNA from 1 species
GCCUGGUGCAAGAGACUGCUGG